GUUGUAUGGUUAAGUGACUAAGCGUACACGGUGGAUGCCUUGGCAGUCAGAGGCGAUGAAAGACGUAGUAACUUGCGAUAAGCCCAGAUUAGGUAGUAACAACCAUUUGAGUCUGGGAUUUCUGAAUGGGGAAACCCACGUGCAUAAGCACGUAUCCUUACCUGAAUACAUAGGGUAAGGAGGCGAACCGGGGGAACUGAAACAUCUAAGUACCCCGAGGAAAAGAAAUCAACCGAGAUUCCGAAAGUAGCGGCGAGCGAAAUUGGACUAGCCCUUAAGCUUUACACGCGUUAGACGAACGGUCUGGAAAGUCCGACGAUACAGGGUGAUAGUCCCGUAGUUGACGACGUGUGUUCAGUGAAAUCGAGUAGGGCGGGACACGUGAUAUCCUGUCUGAAUAUGGGGGGACCAUCCUCCAAGGCUAAAUACUACUGACUGACCGAUAGUGAACCAGUACCGUGAGGGAAAGGCGAAAAGAACCCCUGUGAGGGGAGUGAAAUAGAACCUGAAACCGUGUACGUACAAGCAGUAGGAGCAGGCUUUGUCCUGUGACUGCGUACCUUUUGUAUAAUGGGUCAGCGACUUAUAUUCAGUGGCAAGGUUAACCAUCUAGGGGAGCCGUAGGGAAACCGAGUCUUAACUGGGCGUUCAGUCUCUGGAUAUAGACCCGAAACCAGGUGAUCUAGCCAUGGGCAGGUUGAAGGUUGAGUAACAUCAACUGGAGGACCGAACCGACUAAUGUUGAAAAAUUAGCGGAUGACUUGUGGCUAGGGGUGAAAGGCCAAUCAAACCUGGAGAUAGCUGGUUCUCCCCGAAAGCUAUUUAGGUAGCGCCUCGGACGAAUACUACUGGGGGUAGAGCACUGUUAAGGCUAGGGGGUCAUCCCGACUUACCAACCCUUUGCAAACUCCGAAUACCAGUAAGUACUAUCCGGGAGACACACGGCGGGUGCUAACGUCCGUCGUGGAGAGGGAAACAACCCAGACCGCCAGCUAAGGUCCCAAAUUACUACUAAGUGGGAAACGAUGUGGGAAGGCUCAGACAGCCAGGAUGUUGGCUUAGAAGCAGCCAUCAUUUAAAGAAAGCGUAAUAGCUCACUGGUCGAGUCGGCCUGCGCGGAAGAUGUAACGGGGCUAAGUAGUAAACCGAAGCUGCGGCAAUAUACUUUUGUAUAUUGGGUAGGGGAGCGUUCUGUAAGCGGUUGAAGGUGUGUGGUAACGCAUGCUGGACGUAUCAGAAGUGCGAAUGCUGACAUGAGUAACGAUAAAGGGGGUGAAAAACCUCCUCGCCGGAAGACCAAGGGUUCCUGUCCAACGUUAAUCGGGGCAGGGUAAGUCGACCCCUAAGGCGAGGCCGAAAGGCGUAGUCGAUGGGAAACGGGUUAAUAUUCCCGUACUUCUUACAAUUGCGAUGGGGGGACGGAGAAGGCUAGGUGGGCCUGGCGACGGUUGUCCAGGUUCAAGUGCGUAGGCUUAAGAGUUAGGUAAAUCCGGCUCUUUUUAAGGCUGAGACACGACGUCGAGCCACUACGGUGGUGAAGUCAUUGAUGCCAUGCUUCCAGGAAAAGCCUCUAAGCUUCAGAUUGUAAGGAAUCGUACCCCAAACCGACACAGGUGGUCGGGUAGAGAAUACCAAGGCGCUUGAGAGAACUCGGGUGAAGGAACUAGGCAAAAUGGUACCGUAACUUCGGGAGAAGGUACGCUCUUGAUGGUGAAGUCCCUUGCGGAUGGAGCUGACGAGAGUCGCAGAUACCAGGUGGCUGCAACUGUUUAUUAAAAACACAGCACUGUGCAAAAUCGUAAGAUGACGUAUACGGUGUGACGCCUGCCCGGUGCCGGAAGGUUAAUUGAUGGGGUUAGACUUCGGUCGAAGCUCUUGAUCGAAGCCCCGGUAAACGGCGGCCGUAACUAUAACGGUCCUAAGGUAGCGAAAUUCCUUGUCGGGUAAGUUCCGACCUGCACGAAUGGCGUAAUGAUGGCCACGCUGUCUCCACCCGAGACUCAGUGAAAUUGAAAUCGCUGUGAAGAUGCAGUGUACCCGCGGCUAGACGGAAAGACCCCGUGAACCUUUACUACAGCUUGGCACUGAACAUUGACCCUACAUGUGUAGGAUAGGUGGGAGGCUUUGAAGCACGUACGCCAGUAUGUGUGGAGCCGUCCUUGAAAUACCACCCUUGUAGUGUUGAUGUUCUAACGUUGACCCCUUAUCGGGGUUGCGGACAGUGCCUGGUGGGUAGUUUGACUGGGGCGGUCUCCUCCCAAAGAGUAACGGAGGAGCACGAAGGUGGGCUAAUCACGGUUGGACAUCGUGAGGUUAGUGCAAUGGCAUAAGCCCGCUUGACUGCGAGAAUGACAAUUCGAGCAGGUGCGAAAGCAGGUCAUAGUGAUCCGGUGGUUCUGAAUGGAAGGGCCAUCGCUCAACGGAUAAAAGGUACUCCGGGGAUAACAGGCUGAUACCGCCCAAGAGUUCAUAUCGACGGCGGUGUUUGGCACCUCGAUGUCGGCUCAUCACAUCCUGGGGCUGAAGUCGGUCCCAAGGGUAUGGCUGUUCGCCAUUUAAAGUGGUACGCGAGCUGGGUUUAGAACGUCGUGAGACAGUUCGGUCCCUAUCUGCCGUGGGCGUUGGAAGAUUGAAGGGGGCUGCUCCUAGUACGAGAGGACCGGAGUGGACGAACCUCUGGUGUUCGGGUUGUGUCGCCAGACGCAUUGCCCGGUAGCUAAGUUCGGAAUCGAUAACCGCUGAAAGCAUCUAAGCGGGAAGCGAGCCCUGAGAUGAGUCUUCCCUGAUACUUUAAGUAUCCUAAAGGGUUGUCGGAGACUACGACGUUGAUAGGUCAGGUGUGUAAGUGCUGUGAGGCAUUGAGCUAACUGAUACUAAUUGCCCGUGAGGCUUAACCAUACAACACCCAAGGGGUUU
rnacentral:rRNA from 1 species